AUAGGAGUUCCUUGAAAGUGCUUCAUCCUAAGAUGAAUACAGCCAUAAGAAAGGUGCUUUGUCAUCAAGACAAAUAUAGUCACGACAAUUUUCUCAAAGGUGCUUUGUCCUAAGAUGAAUAUAGCCAUGAGAAAGGUGCCUCAUUUCAAGACGAAUAUGCCACAAUGAGUUUCUCGAAAGUGCUUCGUCCUAAGAUAAAUAUAGCUACGGAAAGGGCACCUUAUCCUAAGACAAAUAUGUCAUUACCAUUUUUCAAAGGUGCUUCAUUUCAAGAUGAAUAUAACCACGAGAAGGAUGCUUCAUCACCCAGAUAAAUAUUGCCAGGAUGACUUCUAUGAAGGCGCUUCAAUCCAAGAUGAAUAUAGUCAUAAGAAUGGUGCUUCAUCAUCAAAACGAAUAUAGCCACGAUGACUUUUUCGAAGGUGAUUCGUUCCAAGAUGAAUAUAGCCAUGAGCAGGGUACUUCGUCACCAAGAUAAAUAUAGCCACCACGACUUUCUCGAAGGUACUUCGUCCCAAGAUAAAUAUAGUCAUGAGAAGAUGCUUCUUCAUUAGGAUGAAUAUAGGCAUGACGACUUUCUCAAAGGUACUUUAUUUUAAGAUGAAUAUAGCCACGAAAAGGAUGCCUUGUCCUAAGAUGAAUAUGCUAUGAUGUUUUUCGUGAAGAUGCUUUGUCUCAAGAUGAAUAUAACCAUGAGAAGGGUGUUUUGUCAUCAAGACAAAUAUAGCCACGGUGAUUUUUCAAAGGUGCUUCAUCUUAAGAUGAAUAUAGACACAAGAAGAACACCUCGUCUCAAGACGAAUAUGCCAUGAUAAGUUCCUCGAAGAUGCUUUGUCUCAAGACGAAUAUAGCUACGAAAAGAGUACCUUGUUCCAAGACAAAUAUGCCAGGAUGAUUUGCUCGAAGGUGCUUCGUCCCAGGUGAAUAUAGCCAUGAGAAGGAUGCUUCAUCACUGAGAUGAAUAUAGCCACAAUGAUUUCUUUGAAGGUGCUUCAUCUUAAGAUGAAUAUAGUCACGAGAAGAGUACUUCGUCACCAAAACAAAUAUAGUCAUGAUAAUUUUUUUGAAGGUGCUUCGUCUCAAGAUAAAUGUAGCCAUGAGAAGAGCACUUCGUCAUCAAGACAAAUAUAGCUACGAUGAUUUUCUUGAAGGUGCUUCAUCUCCGGAUGAAUAUAGUCACAAAAAAGACGUCUUAUCCCAAGAUGAAUAUGUCAGGAUGAGUUUCUUGAAGGUGCUUCAUCUUUGGAUAAAUAUAGUCAUGAGAAGGAUGCUUCAUCCCAAAAUGAAUAUUUCAUAAUGAGUUUUUCAAAGGCACUUCAUAUUCGGAUAAAUAUAGCCAUGAGAAUAGUACCUCAUUUGAAGACGAAUAUAGCCACGAUGAGUUUCUCGAAGGUAUUUCGUUUCAAGAAGAAUAUAGCUAUGAGAAGGGUGUCUCGUUUCUGAAUAAGUGUAGCCAUGAGAAGAAGCAAAAGGUGUCUCAUUUCUGGACGAUAAUAGUCGACAAGAGGAUCUCGACAAUCGAGGAACGAGGGCUAAUCCAAGGAACCCUCGAAUCCCUCAUGCUCGAAUACUCGAAUAAAAAGCUUCGGAUGUCCAGAAGGCAAUGGCAAAGAAAUUCUUGGAGGCUCGUAACAUCAACAAUGCCAAUCCAAGCUGAGAUCCUCAAAGGAAUUGUUACACAAAGCCCCAUCUUGAGGACAAGCCAACCAAUACACAAUCUUCAGGAGACCACCUAAAGUGCCUGAACACCUCGGUCUAUACAAUCUGACCUAAGAAAGGUGAUCCGAAUGUGACUAGCU
rnacentral:lncRNA from 1 species